AAAGUCGUAACAAGGUCUCCGUAGGUGAACCUGCGGAGGGAUCAUUAACACGUUUUAACAACGUAUUCUACCAAACUAAGGAAUCAGACCUAGCAAUAGGUCAGUUUACCCUCCCCACAGAGCGAAGCAGAGAGAGCAAUAGCACUCUAUGUGUAGCGUUGCGGGCUAUGAUUUUCUAUUGAUACACCCUUUUCCACCUGGAUUGAUCUUCGAUCAACUCCACCAAUGUCGUAACCUAGCCUUGGUUUGACCUAGUCACUCUGAGGUUGAUAUCAACAAUCUAAGCACAACUCUUAGCAACGGAUAUCUUGGUUCUC
rnacentral:misc_RNA from 1 species